rnacentral:rRNA from 1 species
UACGAAGGGGGCUAGCGUUGUUCGGAAUUACUGGGCGUAAAGCGCACGUAGGCGGGUAUUUAAGUCAGGGGUGAAAUCCCAGAGCUCAACUCUGGAACUGCCUUUGAUACUGGGUACCUAGAGUAUGGAAGAGGUGAGUGGAAUUCCGAGUGUAGAGGUGAAAUUCGUAGAUAUUCGGAGGAACACCAGUGGCGAAGGCGGCUCACUGGUCCAUUACUGACACUCAGGUGCGACAGCGUGGGGAGCAAAC